GCCACGGUCGUCUAGCGGUUAGAACGCUGGCCUUGUAAUCCUGGGGUCUCGGGUUCGAUUCCCGGCGGUGCCC
rnacentral:tRNA from 1 species